UUCAUUUGAGGAGAAGCAUAUAUGCAUGUUAGUGUGUGUCGGUAGCCCAAUUUUCUAUGAGGAGUCUAUAGUCAAAUAAUUAGGUGAAGAUCACCAUAUAUCAUACACAAGUAAUUAGAUGAAGAUCAUCAUACAUAUUGAACUCCCUUGUCUACUUUACAAUUGGAUGUUGGUGAAAGCUGAAAUUACGUAGAGGUGUCCUAGUAAUGGAAUUUCAAAGUUUGGUAAAAAACUAGGAGUCAACAUAGUAAAUGAAAAUAUUUAUGUUGGAAUAUAUUAUAUACAUGGACACAGUGAUCCAACCGCUAUGUAGUGUGGUUUGAACUACACAACUAAAGUAGCUAAAAGAAUGCAAGAUAGGGUUGCGCAAACCGGCUUGGUGGCACUUUGUUGGUCUCCAUGAUCCAAGAUAUACUUUCUGGGUACUGCGAAACACCUUCUCCUACAAUCAACUUGAGAUAUCGAGGGCAAGUGGGCCGUUCAAAGAUGUAUUAAUGUUGAUAUUGGUGCCAGUCGAUCUACUGAUGGUGACGAUGAUGAAAGUGUUGACACCUUUCGUCUUCAGGAGCAACCCCGUUCGACAAGAAAAUCGUUGAUUCUAAAGAUCUCAACGACGUUUACCCUGACUACAACACAAGGCUGACUAUAAAUGAUUUUUCGAUCGAUGAGUAGAAGGAAUUUAAAGACUACAUGAAGAAGCUAGAUGAGGAGUUCCAGUGAUGACAAGUUCAGAAGUGUGAGGAGGCGUAGGAAAAAUACUUGGUUCACUUCAAGAACAUAUGAUGGCAAGAGGCGCAACUCUACAGAUAUUUACAACAGACGCAUGCAUGUAUUCUACAAUGAACUAACUACGUAUAUUAGGUUUCUCCAAUAAUGUCGACCUCAAGAUUUCACUACAAUCUUUUCCUAGCGAGGUCCUCCGGGGGCGAGAUCCAGGUCCAACCAAGGGCUCUCUACGCAAUCACGGACAAUCCACCACCCUACCGUGGACGAUCCGGUGACCUAUUGCGGACAGACCAAUGACCUAUCGUGAACCAUUCAACACCUCGCCAAGCCGAACCUAAGGUUUUGCUCAUCAUGAGGAGACCAUAGGGCUCAUUGCUAUUUGACCCUAAUAAGACUUCAUCAUAGAGGUGGAAUUCAAGACCAUAUUGCAGGUAGUGUUAUUUGUCUUACAUCUUAUCUAAUCUUACAAAGAUGUUCACCAAGUUAUCAUUCUCCACGAGCAGGAUAUAGGGAUUAUCAGUAUGUGUGAUGGUGUGUCGACUAGAUGCAAUGGGUUACCAAUGGCUUCUGAUAUGAUGCUUGUGCAGCGAUACUGGUUGGUGGUGGUUUAAUAGCCUAGAAUUGGUUGUUGGACUA